CUACGGGAUGCUGCAGUGAGGAAUAUUGCACAAUGGGGGGAACCCUGAUGCAGCAACGCCGCGUGGAGGAUGACGCAUUUCGGUGUGUAAACUCCUUUUAUGAGUCAAGAAAAUGACGGUAGCUCAUGAAUAAGCACCGGCUAACUCCGUGCCAGCAGCCGCGGUAAUACGGAGGGUGCAAGCGUUACUCGGAAUCACUGGGCGUAAAGGACGCGUAGGCGGGUUGUCAAGUCAGGUGUGAAAUCCUACAGCUUAACUGUAGAACUGCACUUGAAACUGGCAGCCUAGAGUAUGGGAGGGGGAGAUGGAAUUAGUGGUGUAGGGGUAAAAUCCGUAGAUAUCACUAGGAAUACCUAAAGCGAAGGCGAUCUCCUGGAACAUUACUGACGCUAAGGCGUGAAAGCGUGGGGAGCAAACAGGAUUAGAUACCCCAGUAGUC
rnacentral:rRNA from 1 species